rnacentral:lncRNA from 1 species
UCCGAGGCUCUAAAACUCCAGUGCCGCUUCUCUCAACCGGCGUGGUCGACGCCUUCGCGCCAUAGUUCUUCUUCUUCUCCCUCUCUUCCUCAAUCUGCCAAUUCAACCGUGAGCUCUCGGUGCGGCCACCGCUGAGUUCUCCAGUGCUGCCGCGACUCAGAGGUUCCGUCGAGGCUAGUUGUCGCCGCCCCUAAAAUCGGCGAGGACAACGCCGUUCGUCCCCCUUCUUUUAAAACUGAAUCUACCGCCCCUGGUUCGCC